GGGUGGGCUGUGGGGUGGUUGUUUGUUGUUGUAAGAGUGAAAAAACUCUUGGAGACUUGGUCGGGUCUAAUGAGGAGAAGUGAACUAGUGAAGUAGCAGCCUAGUCGACAUGUACUUAAAUUUAUUAGUAGGAUAUGACCAAAGAUGUGGCAAUGUAAAAGGGAGUGGCUUGUGUUCUAUAUAAAUUCCCUAAUAGGUGAAAUCUGUGGAGCCCCACCCACAAAUAAAUUGCCUAUUGUAAGCUUCUUUUCAGGUAAAAAAAAAAAAAAAAAAAA
rnacentral:misc_RNA from 1 species